AACAGAUCUCCACAGUUGGAGCAUACAAUAGACCAGCUUUUAUUCAAAUUAGGGAAGCUCAAGUGUUUCGGCCCAUCUGCUGACAAUGGCCUCCUUGUAAAAACCCGAGCCCGUGGAGGAUCAGAAUUUAGGAAUGCGACUCAAGAAGAAGAGGCCCUCUUUCAGGGAGCUGCGGACUACACAGGCCAGAGCUGACGCCAUGAGCUGCAUCUUAAAUGAUUCAUUUGAGCAGUUUGGUCAUUGCGCCAAAGAACCAUUUUAGGGGGGGUAUAUGAGGGGCGUUAGUCAUGGGCAACAAUUCUCAAUAGUUCAACAUAACCCGCUUUUUCCCCUCGUAAAGUCGUGGCUGGCACCGCCCCCAUCCAACAACAAAGUCCUCUCUUUCCCGGCUCUAUAUGCUACCGCGGUUGUUUUUGGCCGAUUCCCUUAGACUUCCCCUUCCGCCCUCAAGGGAGGGGGCAGGAGCUCGCUCCAAGACCGAGGCCUGGUCCCGAGAAGCCUCGCCCCUGCCCACCGACUCACGCGGGGAGUGGGGGCGCCAGAAAAGGCCAAGCUUUAUAUCAGGCCAAGAACGCCCAAAUGGUCACGGACUGCAAAGGCGUCUGAGGACGCAGUUGGCGUCAGCAGCACGCUCUGGGCUGCUCCCGGCCAAGAACCUCCAUUUUGGAAAAAAGACCCAGACUCACCAUCCUUCAUUCUCCAGACUUUGAAUCACCAUGCUCUUGCACAGAAAUGACCAGCAGGAUGAAUACAGAGAGGAUUGGCGAGACUUACAUGAACUGAUGCUAAGUGAAAUGAGCAGAACCAGGAGAUCAUUAUAUACCUCAACAAUGAUACUGUAUGAGGAUGUAUUCUGAUGGAAUUGGAUUUCUUCAACAAAGAGCUCUAACUCAGUUUCAAUUGAUCAAGGAUGGACAGAAGCAGCUACACCCAAAGAAAGAACACUGGGAAACGAAUGUGAACUAUCUGCAUUUUUGUCCUCCUUCCCAGGUUAUUUUUACCUUCUGAAUCCAAUUCUUCCUGUACAAUAAGAGAACUGUUUGGUUCUGCACACAUAUAUUUUAUCUAGGAUACACUGUGAUAUAUUUAACUUGCAUAGGACUGCUUGCCAUCUGGGGGAGGGGGUGAAGAGAGGGAGGGGAAAAGUCGGAACAGAAGUGAAUGCAAGGGAUAAUGUUGUAAAAAAAAUUACCCAGGCAUGGGCUCUGUCAAUAAAAAGUUAUAAA